UCGCAUCGAUGAAGAACGCAGCGAAAUGCGAUAAGUAAUGUGAAUUGCAGAAUUCAGUGAAUCAUCGAAUCUUUGAACGCACCUUGCGCUCCUUGGUAUUCCGAGGAGCAUGCCUGUUUGAGUGUCAGUAAAUUCUCAACUCCUUCAGCUUUUGUGGCUGACUGGGGCUUGGAUGUGGAGGUCUUGCGGGCCCGCAUGGGUCGGCUCCUCUGAAAUGCAUUAGCGGAACCGUUUG
rnacentral:rRNA from 1 species